GACGAACGCUGGCGGCGCGCCUAACACAUGCAAGUCGAACGGUGAAGAGGAGCUUGCUCCUCGGAUCAGUGGCGGACGGGUGAGUAACACGUGAGCAACCUGGCUCUAAGAGGGGGACAACAGUUGGAACGACUGCUAAUACCGCAUAACGUAUCGGGAUGGCAUCUUCCUGAUACCAAAGAUUUUAUUCGCUUAGAGAUGGGCUCGCGUCUGAUUAGAUAGUUGGCGGGGUAACGGGCCCACCAAGUCGACGAUCAGUAGCCGGACUGAGAGGUUGAACGGCCACAUUGGGACUGAGACACGGCCCAGACUCCUACGGGAGGCAGCAGUGGGGGAUAUUGGACAAUGGGGGCGAACCCUGAUCCAGCGACGCCGCGUGAGGGAAGAAGGUUUUCGGAUUGUAAACCUCUGUUGACGGAGAAAAAAUGAUGGUAUCCGUUUAGAAAGCCACGGCUAACUACGUG
rnacentral:rRNA from 1 species